rnacentral:lncRNA from 1 species
CUCCCUUCGCCGGACCUCGAAUCAGAAGGUGGAACUGUGGAAGGGGCAGAUCUCAUCGCUGCGAAUCGCGGUGGAAUGCGGCCGGUGAGUCGAAUCGCCCGGGGAGGGAGGGGAAAAUGGAGGCGGCAUCGGAGAAGGUGGAAGAGCAAAUCUCUAGCGGGCGGCGAAAGGUGGCAGAUCGCGGCUGCGGCCGGUGAGUCGAAUCGCCGGCAGAGGGAGGGGAAAAUGGAGGUGGCAUCGGCCGGUGGGUCGAAUCGUCGCGGAGAGGGAAAUGGAGGUGGUGGUCGACGCAGAGAAAGGAAGAGAAGACAAUAUGAUUUUACAAUGUUUAACUUAAUUAAAUAAUAUAUAUAAAAUAAUAAUAAUUGAUGUGGAAUUAUAUUGCCAC